GUGCCAGCAGCCGCGGUAAUACGUAGGUGGCAAGCGUUGUCCGGAUUUAUUGGGCGUAAAGCGAGCGCAGGCGGUUUCUUAAGUCUGAUGUGAAAGCCUUCGGCUCAACCGAAGAAGUGCAUCGGAAACUGGGAAACUUGAGUGCAGAAGAGGACAGUGGAACUCCAUGUGUAGCGGUGAAAUGCGUAGAUAUAUGGAAGAACACCAGUGGCGAAGGCGGCUGUCUGGUCUGUAACUGACGCUGAGGCUCGAAAGCAUGGGUAGCAAACAGGAUUAGAUACCCUGGUAGUCCAUGCCGUAAACGAUGAGUGCUAGGUGUUGGAGGGUUUCCGCCCUUCAGUGCCGCAGCUAACGCAUUAAGCACUCCGCCUGGGGAGUACGACCGCAAGGUUGAAACUCAAAGGAAUUGACGGGGGCCCGCACAAGCGGUGGAGCAUGUGGUUUAAUUCGAAGCAACGCGAAGAACCUUACCAGGUCUUGACAUCCUUUGACCACUCUAGAGAUAGAGCUUUCCCUUCGGGGACAAAGUGACAGGUGGUGCAUGGUUGUCGUCAGCUCGUGUCGUGAGAUGUUGGGUUAAGUCCCGCAACGAGCGCAACCCUUAUUACUAGUUGUCAGCAUUUAGUUGGGCACUCUAGUGAGACUGCCGGUGACAAACCGGAGGAAGGUGGGGACGACGUCAAAUCAUCAUGCCCCUUAUGACCUGGGCUACACACGUGCUACAAUGGAUGGUACAACGAGUCGCGAGACCGCGAGGUUUAGCUAAUCUCUUAAAACCAUUCUCAGUUCGGAUUGUAGGCUGCAACUCGCCUACAUGAAGCCGGAAUCGCUAGUAAUCGCGGAUCAGCAUGCCGCGGUGAAUACGUUCCCGGGCCUUGUACACACCGCCCGU
rnacentral:rRNA from 1 species